rnacentral:lncRNA from 1 species
AUUACCGAAACAUAGUUUUAUGUGCCUUGGAAUUUUACCUGUAUGAAUGCCUUGAAUUUUACCUAUAGCAUUAUGUUGCCAUUCUUCCAGGUUUUCAUAUGCUAUGCUAUCAUUUGCUAGGAUUCUAGACAUGAAGUUAGAGUGAAAAAUCAUAUUAAUUAGGUCUGAAAAUAUGCUGUUGCCAUUAACCAAUAUGUUUUGUAUUGCAAACUUACAAUUUAUUUUUUGAUAUGUCUGUAAAUAAAUAUACUUGGACUGAACGUAAACAGAAAUCAGUCCUUAUAUUCGCCAGUUCCCAUUAGAGGGAAAAUAGCAAAAUAGCUUACAUAAAUACACAUAUGCAUGCAUGAUGCACUGGUUGAUUUUAUUUUAUAGGCGUAGAAACCUUCAAAGCCAAGGG